AUUGAACGCUGGCGGCAGGCCUAACACAUGCAAGUCGAACGAGUGGCGGACGGGUGAGUAAUGUAUGGGAAACCGUCCGAUGGAGGGGGAUAACUACUGGAAACGGUAGCUAAUACCGCAUACCAGCGGAUGAGCCCAGAUGGGAUUAGCUAGUGGGUGGGGUAACGGCUCACCUAGGCGACGAUCCCUAGCUGUUCUGAGAGGAUGACCAGCCACACUGGUACUUGGACACGGUCCAGACUCCUACGGGAGGCAGCAGUGGGGAAUAUUGCACAAUGGACGCGAGCCUGAUGCAGCCAAGCCGCGUGUAUGAAGAGGGCCUUCGGGUUGUAAAGUACGUUCAGCGGGGAGGCGUUACCCGCAGAAGAAGCACCGGCUAACUCCGUGCCAGCAGCCGCGGUAAUAC
rnacentral:rRNA from 1 species